AUUAAAGUAGUACAUUUAGAAUUUGAAUGAAUUAUUUCUCUGCUAUUUUCACACUUUACAAAGUCAUCCAGGGGGUCUGAUUGGACCCUUUGGUGGGCCGGUUCUGGCCCACGGGCCAUAUGUUUAACACCCCUGAAGUAGAGUCAUGAAGGUCUA